rnacentral:lncRNA from 1 species
AAGUUUGUUCAUGCUUGUGAAAAAUCAAGAAGAUCAAGAAAAUGGUUGAAAGUCAAAGAAAAUAGUGAAAGUGCAUGCCGAGAGGAAAAAUGGCAGCAAAGGAUUAUUAAAGAUGGAUUUUUCAAUGCUGAGAAUAUUUAGUUGAAAAAAUGAUUCAAAAAUUCAAUUUAAAACAAUAAAUUCCCAAUCAAAGAAGCAAAUAGAGGAGGAGGUCUGUAUAGCAAGAUAGCCAUGAUGGAAUGGAGUCUCAGAAUUCGGGAUAGAAGGACCUAAUUCGUCGUCAGGAUAUUCAGUGGUCAGAAGCAUUUCCAUGUAUAAGGUAACUUGGUCCGUAAGCUCAAAUGGAUUCUCCCCAACAUUGGUCAAACACUGAACAUAAAGCUCAAAAUUCCUUCUUUUCUGCACUGUUAUAUUUCCUGCAUUCAACGUUAUUUACUCACCAUCAAGGCUUGAUUCAACAGCUUCGUUGGAAUACAUACCCUCGUUGUUGCCAUGGACCAAUCUGGUUUCACAAUAUUUAAUUUAACUGUAGUCUGAUAUCCCAGCUCUUGAAUUUCUUUUGCUGAAGCAAAAUUCCAUUGCCUUUUCGAAAAAUGAUUGACACAUUGUCUGCCUCUUUAAUAUUUUCAGCCUGCUGCAUCCUUAUGAAUUCUCUUCACUUCCGGAAUCUCCAUAUCUGAUUUCUCAGGGCCAUUUUCCUGAACCUUUAAGCUUCUCGUUGCUCAUUGUAGUUAACGUUCCUGUCUUCAUUGGUGGAGUUAGCAAGCAAUGAAAUUCUGGGUUUUGCAUCAUUUUCCUUAGUUCAGGGUCGGAAUAAAAGGGGCAGGAGCAUUGAAGCAUUUUUAGCAUGGUUGACGCUGCCAAGGUGACCACCAUUUCGCAAACUGAUUUUAACAUAGGAGAGUUGAAGCUGGAGCUUUUUGGUCUUCUAUAGUCAGAAGAAGGAUGCUUGCCUUUUACAGACUGUCUCAAGCCAACCUGCCUACUCAUUUCUGGAAUAUGGCUUUCAACAAUUCUUAAUGAGACAUCCUUGUACCAUCCACUGUUUCCUCUUUUAAGAUCUUCCUUCCCCGUAUUUCUGAAUUUAAAUUCUAGAAUCU